GGACGAACGCUGGCGGCGUGCCUACUCCAUGCAAGUCGAGCGGACGGAUGGGAGCUUGCUCCCAGACCGUCAGCGGCGGACGGGUGAGUAACACGUGGGCAACCUGCCUGUAAGACUGGGAUAACUCCGGGAAACCGGGGCUAAUACCGGAUAACUCUUUCCCUCACAUGAGGGAAAGCUGAAAGAUGGCAUCUCGCUAUCACUUACAGAUGGGCCCGCGGCGCAUUAGCUAGUUGGUGAGGUAACGGCUCACCAAGGCGACGAUGCGUAGCCGACCUGAGAGGGUGAUCGGCCACACUGGGACUGAGACACGGCCCAGACUCCUACGGGAGGCAGCAGUAGGGAAUCUUCCGCAAUGGACGAAAGUCUGACGGAGCAACGCCGCGUGAGUGAUGAAGGUUUUCGGAUCGUAAAACUCUGUUGUCAGGGAAGAACAAGUACCGGAGUAACUGCCGGUACCUUGACGGUACCUGACCAGAAAGCCACGGCUAACUACGUG
rnacentral:rRNA from 1 species